UGUCACAACUAUUGAUUAACAUUAUAAAAUAGUUGAACUAUAUAUUUAUACAAUUUAAAUUUGUAAUGUCCAUCUAUCCCACCAUCCGUCAGCUAUUGCGUCAAACAUUUUGUCGACAUUUAAGCAACCUUCUAGGAAAUAGUUUCAACUUGUUCAUAGCACAACAUAUUUGUUGAGCGACAGCCAAAGUUCAAGUGAAAAGUUGCUAAACUACGUCGUAUUUCGGUCAGCUUUACACACAUUAUUGACCUUUUAUCAUUUGGCACCUCGAAAGCCCCGAAAAAUAUUGUGAGUCUUGGUGUAAGGUAAACGGAAUUUCACCAUCUGUGUGUGGCGCAAUGUUUAAAGUUUAGUGUUUGGCCAACAUUGUUGUUGACCCACCCACACAGAGGCAUAAUCUAACACUGGCCGUGUGUGCUGUCUAGCUGUCAGCCAAGUGCAGAGCGGCAACAACUGGCUGGCAUAUGAGAGGAAGUGUUGUGAAAAGUGAAAAGUGGGAAAGGGGGUACCAGGGCAUCAUCAUAAACGUUUAUUACGCCCAUAAAUAGCCUCUUCGGUUCUGUCACUGUUGCUGGUUCUGGCUUCUGGCUUCGGGAGCUACUUACUCAAUUUUCCAACCACGCCGGAAAUGCAAAUUAUAAUGAUAUAUUGGCUGUGAAAAAAACACAAACGCGACAGCCGCUGCUGAAAAAGGAGAGCUCGACAAUGCGCCUAAUGGAGGAAGAUUCACGAGCCGAGGAGGUGGAUAGACACUGCCGUCGUGGCUUAGGAUUACCGCUAACGGUAAUAAAUAGACCUGCCACGCGUGUGUAAUUUAGAGAGGAAACUCAGGCCAUCGGCUCGGCUUCUUCUGGCUCCGAACGAGGAUGAGAACGAGAACAAGGACCGUCGCGACGACAUCGCGGCCGUUGACAGUAAUGAAAUUAUGACAUUGCUAAUAACAGAGUAUUCCGACGGGCUGCAGCUUAAAGAUGUCUUCUUCAUUUCAGUCUCUCACACUCCUCUCUCUUUUGGCUUUGUUUUUGUGUGGGGGAUCUGGGGGUAAAGUCCUAAAAUAUGAUUAGCUGGCAUUUAGCCUGUCCUCCGACUUUGCUACAGCCCAGUGUCGGCGACGGUCCCUCGCUCUGGUCUGCUCUGGUCUGGUCCGUUGGUUGGUGCAAAAAACCCUUUUCAGUAGCCGUCGAAAGGCGAAUUUUUUUCGCCUGUUGUUGUAAUUUAUUUUAAUUAAACUUUGCGCUGAUGAAAUGCUGUUGAUUAGACUUGAAAGACGUGCGCACACAAAGGACUGGAUGGAGACAACACAAAAAACGAAUUGAUUGCCCGAAUGAAGCAACUGAAAGUAAAACAGAGUAUAACAAAAAAAUAAAAAACAAAAUAAAGACCAGCUGAAAAGUAAAGCAC